CCACGUGGGCGCGCCGGGCGCCGCGGGGCAGUGCGGUGGCAUGGCGGGCGGCGGUGGUAGCGGACAGUGCCUCAGCUUCGCGGGGUGCAACUUCCUACGGCAGCGGCUGGUGCUGUCCACGCUCAGCGGUCGGCCGCUGAAAAUCCGCAAGAUCCGCGCCAAAGAGGAGGACCCCGGUCUCCGCGACUUUGAAGCAUGUUUUAUUCGCCUUAUUGACAAAGUGACAAAUGGCUCUAGGAUUGAGAUAAACCAAACAGGUACUACCUUGUAUUAUCAGCCUGGUCUUCUAUAUGGGGGCUCACUGGAACAUGACUGCAGCCCUAGCCGCAGUAUUGGCUACUACUUAGAAAGUCUUCUCUGUUUGGCACCCUUCAUGAAACAUCCACUGAAGAUUGUCCUGAGGGGAGUAACAAAUGAUCGAGUAGAUCCUUCGGUUGAUGUCCUUAAGGCAACGGCUCUACCACUACUGAAAAAAUUUGGAAUUGAUGGUGAAAGUCUGGAAAUCAAGAUCAACCGGAGAGGAAUGCCUCCAAAAGGAGGUGGGGAGAUAUUAUUUGCUUGCCCAGUGAGAAAGGUCUUGCAGCCUAUUCAGUUCACUGACCCAGGCAAAAUCAAGCGCAUCAGAGGAACUGCAUAUUCUGUCAGAGUGUCUCCACAGAUGGCAAACAGAAUGGUGGAAUCUGCAAGGAGUGUCUUGAAUAAAUUCCUUCCAGAUAUUUAUAUCUACACAGACCAUAUGAAAGGGGUCAGCUCUGGAAAAUCUCCAGGUUUUGGCAUAUGCCUUAUUGCAGAAACCAUCAAUGGCACUAUUCUCAGUGCUGAGUUAGCCUCAAACCCUCAGGGCCAGGGAGCAGCUGUGCUUCCUGAGGAACUUGGACAGAAUUGUGCUAAGCUGUUGCUUGAGGAGAUAUACAGGGGAGGUUGUGUUGAUUCAACAAACCAGAGCCUUGCUCUGCUGCUCAUGACCCUUGGACAACAAGAUGUUUCCAAAGUCCUGUUAGGACCCCUGUCUCCAUACACAAUUGAGUUUCUGCGACACCUGAGAAGCUUCUUCCAGAUCAUGUUUAAAAUUGAAAUGAAGUCCCCUGAAGAAGAAUGCAAGGGCGGGGAGAAAGUCUUAAUGACAUGUGUUGGCACUGGAUUUUCCAACCUUAGUAAAGCAAUAAGAUAAGAAGCUUAUCUGCAAACUUUCCAAAAUGAGAUAUCAGAAAACAUUGCAAAAAUUUGAUAAAAAGUGUCUUCCCCUGUACUUAUUCUGGCACCAGGAAAACCAGUGCAGAGAAAAAAAGUCUCUGGGCAAAGAAUAAUUUCUUGCCUUGCUUCCCACUGUUACCUGCAGAAUAGAAAGCUGGAAACUCUCCAGAUAAAAGUUAUGCUAAAUAUGGGGACCCACUGAUCCAAAAAAUGAGAUGUACAAAGGUGAGAUGAGUAGUUACCGGAAUGAAUGUUUAAAGCCUAUGUUAAUUAAAGGUAAAAUUUUACAGCACAGCUCAGAUUUCUGAAAUAAAUCUAAAUAUACAUUAGGAAGUACUGUCACAGCUUCAAAAGCAAAAAGCUGUAUUCCAGUUAAACUUUGAAAGCUCUUAGCUUUUGAAAUUGUGACAGCAUUUCCAAAUGUUCAUUGUACCAAGCUUAGAAAUGGCGACGUGUUACCCAGGUAGCAGUACUGCUAAGAGCCCAGGUACUCUUAGCAGUAAAGUAAUUAUGUCAUAAAAUUACCCAUGCUUAACUAAACCUCAGUGUUGAAGUUAGGCUGCUAAACCUCAGCCCUGCUGAGAGAAAACAACUAGAUUGCAUAGCUUCACAACAGACUGCUAGCUAUGACUCAGAGUUGCUGGUUGCUUUACACAGAAAAACACGUGUAUAACGGGAAGAAGUCUUCCAGAACAGCCAGUCUCUGGAGAAACAGGAACAAUUCCAAAAGAAGUUUAGCUAAGAGCUUCCUUAAAAAUUAUUUGAUCUUUAUGUUGUGUGAAAAAUAGUUACGAUAUAAGUAUACUAUAGAUAAGGUCUGUUUGUUUACAGGCAGAAUGGUGAUUAACACCUGUUUUGACUAUUCCCAUCUGUUUUGGACUGAUCCCAUAUGCAAUGGGGCAGUGGGACAGGUCAAUUUUACAGAAAAUUGAUUUCUAACAAAGAGACCAUUCAUGUUCUUUAUCAACACAGACUUUGUGGAAAGGAUAUUACGAGGAGAUACAUUUUUAAUCUCAGUCCAUUGUGGUAGGUUUAAAAACCUUGGGACUUGAACUUGAUCAUCUGUAUCAGAACAAUUUUGUACUCCUUGAGCUAUUCGUCAAUCCAGUUUGUGCUUUUAGAUAAACUAUUCUGAUGAUACUUCUUCAGCUGUGAUUGGAAAAUUUUCUGCUUGCAGAAUACCAUAAGGAUGGACCAUAGGGAAUAUAGCUGUGGGAAGGAACUAGUUAAUAGAAGUAUUUUGUAACAUGCAUUUUAACUGCACAGGACAAGGUGAAGAAGCUCAGAGAAAUGUUUUGACAGAAAAGUAUUAGAGCAAGUCAUUAUGUGGAGAAUCUUUUUCUUUCAACUUGUCUAACAGGAAAGGCUACUGCUGUCUGAUGCAAAAACUAUUUGAAAAAUGUGAUUUUUACAUGGUAUCCAAUUCCAUUUUUGUGAUAUGUAUUGUUAAAUGCUGUUUGGUUUCUGAGAUGGAUGGUAACUUUUCUGUAUCUUCUGUGUUUACAUGAGAAAAUUCAUGGUAAGUUGCUGUAGAACAGAUUCUGGAGUGGCAGAGAUUAUGCUGAAGGUGAAAUUGCUUCAGUCCCAGCCAGUGCACUUUUGAAGGUGUGUGGCUGGAAGCCAGUGCAGUAAAUGUCUGGGAAAGCACACAGUGAGUUGCAAGGCCAAAACAGUAGGUACAUGACUAUCCUGGGUAAUAUUUUCAAAACUGUGAUUAUGUUACUGCUGGAGCACAGAUACUCUCUUUCUUCUUCCCUUACCUCACAGGUGAUAUUAAGAGUCUAAUGGAUUUUGUUUCAAGCCACUGAGACGUAUUUCUGCUGUUUGCAAGCUUUGACGUUCACUUCCCAGUUUUUCAGUCAUGCCCUUGAGGCAGCAGCAGGAGGGAAAAAGGCAAUAAGGAAAAGUACCAACCUUCAGAAGGCAUAAUUUUACAUAUAAUCUUCUUGCUCUGUCUUUGAUAUUGUAUGACCAUCUCCGCACAUUCGUUUUGCAUGUCUGAUAAUGCAUUUGUGUGCAUUAAGAAGUGUAUCAUCAGCAGGUCAAGGGAGGUGAUCCUCCCCUUUUUAUUCUCUGUCCUGGUGUGGCAACAUCUGGAAUACUAUGUCCAGGUAGGGAAUUUCUAGAGAGAAUUCAGGAGAGGGUUACAAAGAUGAGUUGUAGCCUGGAGCAUCUCUCUUAGGAGGGAAAACUGAGAGACUCAGGACUGUUCAGCCUGCAGAAAAGGAUGGAAGACUUACUGUGAAGGGUAACAUAGCACUGGAACAAGCUGUCCAAAGAAUCUGUGGAGUCCCCUCUGGAGAUACUUAAGACACUCCUGGAAGCUUUCCUGUGCAACCUAUUGCAGGGAACAGUGUUUUAGCAGGAGAGUUGCACUCAGUGAUCUCCAGAGGUCCCUUCCCAACCCCUAUGAUUCUAUCAUUUCUACUUAGUCUGGAAACCAGGGAAUACAGAAUAAGACUACUACUGUGUCAAAGCAACCAUAAACAAAAAAGAAAAGGAGGGAAGGGAAGGGCAAGGAGGAGGGCGAGGGGGAAGGUAAGGGGGAGGGAAAGGGGAAUGGGAAGGGGAAGGGACAUCUUCUAUAGUUACUGUUUAGGUCCUAGUAAACCUGAAAGAUGGAAAGGAAAAAAGACAGUCCUGCAAGGAAUAGUGUGUCUGUUGGAUUUUGCUGUGACAUCAUUGUACAGAAUUGUGAUGAAGUAAAGUCAUGCACUCUGUUAGAGCAUCACAAUGCCCAAGCAGUAAUUGCAGUUGAUAACUUACGACAUUACAGUAAGACAGGUUUGUUAGAAUGAUUGGUAGUAUAUCUGUAGCAGUAGAUGUAUGUAUGUAUGUAAGUAUGGGUGGUAAUCUUUCUCCUGAAAUUACUAUACAUAUUCACCAAAAUGAGUACCCUGACCUAUUUUUCCUGUCUGCUAUGGAAUAUCUGCAAGUUGGGUCUAUGUCAAAAUAUGCAAAAUAUUGAUUUAUUUAUUUUUUAUGUUACCAAAGUUUAAGUAGAAAAGAGAUUAGAAAAAAAUCUUAAAGCUUGUUUUGUGUUUCAGCACUCGGAAGAUGCCUGAUUUUGUAGGGUUUCCUUAAAUAUUUGCAUACGUGUUUGUGUUUAGAAAUGCCUCUACAGAUUCAGAGUGUAUCUGAGGGAAAAGGUUUCUGCUAUGAAAUGUUCUGGAGCAUCAAAUGUAAAAAUCUGUGUCAUAAUUCACAACGCAAGUAUCUUAUCCACUAUUUUCACCUUGUUUUUUGUAACUUAAAUUGUGUAUGUGAUGUACUUUCUGAGUAAACAUCUCUGAUAAAUCAGAACUCAGUAAGAGAGCCUAGAAUACGUAAUUUGUUUGUUUGGAAAUAUGCUUGUCAUGUUGUUAAUAAAAAUACUGUUUCUUAA